GCGGGUGUAGCUCAAUGGUAGAGCCCCAGCCUUCCAAGCUGGUCGUGUGGGUUCGAUUCCCAUCACCCGCUCCA
rnacentral:tRNA from 1 species